CCUUGCGCAUGCGCAGGCGGCGGCGGCGGCGGCGAGGCUACGGGUCGCGCGAGCGGCCGGCGCUAUGGGGCUGAGCCGUGUGCGGGCCGUUUUCUUUGACUUGGAUAACACUCUCAUCGACACUGCCGGGGCGAGCAGGAGAGGCAUGUUGGAGGUGAUAAAACUCUUACAAUCAAAAUACCAUUAUAAAGAAGAGGCUGAAAUCAUCUGUGAUAAAGUUCAAGUUAAACUCAGCAAGGAAUGUUUUCAUCCUUACAAUACAUGCAUUACUGAUUUAAGGACUUCACAUUGGGAAGAAGCAAUCCAGGAAACAAAAGGUGGUGCAGCCAAUAGAGAAUUGGCUGAAGAAUGUUAUUUUCUUUGGAAAUCUACACGUUUACAGCAUAUGACACUAGCAGAAGAUGUCAAAGCCAUGCUUACUGAACUUCGAAAGGAGGUCCGCCUACUUCUCUUAACGAAUGGGGACAGACAGACCCAGAGGGAGAAGAUUGAGGCUUGUGCCUGUCAGUCCUAUUUUGAUGCUGUUGUUGUAGGUGGAGAGCAGAGAGAGGAGAAACCAGCACCGUCCAUAUUUUAUUACUGCUGCAAUCUUCUUGGAGUACAACCUGGGGACUGUGUGAUGGUUGGUGACACAUUAGAAACCGACAUCCAAGGAGGCCUCAAUGCAGGAUUGAAAGCAACAGUCUGGAUCAAUAAAAAUGGAAUAGUGCCACUAAAGUCCUCCCCAGUUCCGCAUUACAUAGUUUCUUCUGUGCUGGAGUUACCUGCUCUCUUACAAAGUAUAGACUGCAAAGUCAGUAUGUCCGCUUAAAGCACAUAAAAGGGCAUGAUUAUGAAUGUUAGAGUCAAUUUGCAGAGUAUGAAAUAAGAAAAGUUAGGGCACUCCACUUACGAUAAUCCAGCUCUAAUUUUACUUAUGAUUUAAUGGCCAAUAUUUUGAAGAGCUUCCCAACCCUAUUGCUUCUAAGUUGUAACAACCAACCUUGAGUGGUACUUCUAUCUGAAAAUUCAGAUUGCAUUAAUACAGGAUAUGGCUAUAUCUUGCACUUAGGAAUAUUCCUGACCCAUGAAUUGUCCUUUGCACCAUGAUAAAGCAGAAUGGGAAUUCUGUGUUGAGGACUGCAGUGAUGAUACAAGUUCACUUCCUGUAAUGUGCCUUUUUCCGAACACCAGCUAAUAACCUGUACCACACUGUUGAGCUGAUAUGGAAAUGACAGUUGUCGGAAUGGUCACAAAUCUCCAUUUAUUUGACAUACGUAUUUAAUGAAGAAAAUCUUUCUGGAGUACAUUUACUCCAGCAGCGACUGUCAUUAUGAUGGAAAAUAUUCAUAAUAUUCAUGUUCUGUUCCUGUUUUUGUUUGUUUGUUUUUGUUUUUGAGACAAGGUCUCACUUUGUCACCCUGGGGUACAGUGGUAUGAACAUGGCUCACUG